CCUACGGGAGGCAGCAGUGGGGAAUUUUGGUACAAUGGGCGAAAGCCUGAUCCAGCCAUUCCGCGUGAGUGAAGAAGGCCUUCGGGUUGUAAAGCUCUUUCGCAAGGAAAGAAAACUUAUCUCCUAAUACGGGGUGAGGAUGACGGUACCUUGAUAAGAAGCACCGGCUAACUACGUGCCAGCAGCCGCGGUAAUACGUAGGGUGCGAGCGUUAAUCGGAAUUACUGGGCGUAAAGCGUGCGCAGGCUGUUUUGUAAGUCAGAUGUGAAAUCCCUGGGCUCAACCUAGGAACUGCGUUUGAAACUACAAGGCUAGAGUGUAGCAGAGGGGGGUUAGAAUUCCACGUGUAGCAGUGAAAUGCGUAGAGAUGUGGAGGAAUACCAAUGGCGAAGGCAGCCCCCUGGGUUAACACUGACGCUCAUGCACGAAAGCGUGGGGAGCAAACAGGAUUAGAUACCCUGGUAGUCCACGCCCUAAACGAUGUCUACUAGUUGUUGGGAGAGUAAAACUCUCUUAGUAACGCAGCUUAACGCGUGAAGUAGACCGCCUUGGGGGAGGUACGGUCGCGAGAGUAAACUAACAAUAGAAGUAGUACGGCGUGAGACGUAGCCGACGGACGACGACGACGGGAGGAGG
rnacentral:rRNA from 1 species